CCUGCUUCAGCGUUUCCUCAUGCAGGUUAUCUCCGACCUUUCUGUCCAAUCUUCCACUUUCCUGGCCCUGGCGGCCGCCGUUGGGCAUUGUACCAUCCAUGGUAGAGACACUGUACUUGGAGCAUCUAGGUGUGCGUUGCUUGUUUGCUAAACUCCGCUCAGCUGAACUCCAUCAGACUUUUAAAGGGAUUGCAGUUCCUUGGGGAGGGGCAGAAGGGAUGGGGUGUGGAGGAGGAGGAGGAAGGUUGGGCCAUAAUGCACCAACUUUUAGCAACUCAGCCUCUGAGUAGAGGGAGAGAUAAGGAACUCUGCUUCAAGACACUCAAGGAAGAAAUAAUGCUUCUGCCUGCUAUAUCUUCAUUGAUAAAAAGAUGGGGAAAUGGUGAUCAAGGCCACAGUUUAACUUGCAAAUAUAAAAUACAAGUCUUUGUAUGCUAAACUUCAAGAGGACAGGUCCCCAGUCUCAUGCAAUCACUCCUUCAGGAAACAAACUCUUCCUUCCUGUCCUCUGCCUGUAGCAGAAAAUAGACAAGCCUAGCAGAUGUCCAGGGAUGGCGGAGGAGUACCUCGGGCUGCAGCUUCCUUGGAGAGAAAACAAGCGCUCAAAGGAGCCUUGCGGGUGGGGGUGAGGGGUUGGAUGAGGGGUUGGGCGGGGGCAGGAAGGUGGUGCAGUAUUGCGUCCUGAUUGCUAAUGGGAGCAGCCUGCCUUGCUUUCUCUCUCUCCCUCCAUCUCCCUUUGUCUCUUUCCAGCCCUUUCCUACCACUGUGAGACCUGUGAACAAAAUGGGGCCAGGGAGAUCUCCAGCAGUCACAGUAUUUUCAUUUUCAUUUUUCCUUUAUUUUAUUUUUUUCAGUCACAGUAUUUUUAAACUCUUGUGGUCUCCUGUUUGCAGACUCGUGUGACUUAGAUGAACUAGAUCCAGAGAGUUUCUCAUGGGAAUCCAGGAUGCUUUGCCACACUGCUGGCUUGGGUUGCCUGUGUUUUUGGCCCUGGUUAAUGUAGCCCUUGGGUUCAUUUCACAUCUUCAAAACUUGGGAAACAGCAGACCCUGUGGAUGCACCAGGAAUGUGCCAGGGAGGCUGUCUUCACGGUGCCUCACAAGGACGGACACCCUGAGCCUAUGAAGACUUGCGGGCUGCAUGGAUGCACCAGCUCAGGCCGAGGGCUAAACUGCCGGGCAUCUUAAUGCAAACAUGGGCGCUAGUGAGAAGGAUUUAGCUCUCACAACGUUCUAAGGGCUCUUUCACACGGGAGUCCUUGUUGUCGUAGUGUUUUGUUUGGAUGUCCUUGUGUAUUAUCCAGCUUUAUCCAGUCAAAAUAUUCUGUAAAUAUGGGCCCCAUCCCUUCCCUUCAGCAUUGCCCUUCCCAGAAGCUGGUUAUUUCUCUUUCUGAUGCUCUUGCUGAAGUUCUUUUCUCCGCUGAAACGAUGUUUCAAAAUGUCCUGGAAUAGAAAAUAUUCUCUUUUAUUUGAGAAAUAUCUUUAUUUUGAAGCAAUUUCUUCACAAGAAUUAAAGCUCAUUUGAAGUUAAAAUGAAAAUAGGGGAAGAACUCACAUAUUUCCUGAAAAGAAUUACCUUUAAAACAAUCAUAGGAAAAUGAACUUGUCACUGGGUGUAGUUUCUUGUAGGAAUACUAAGUGUAGUUAGUUGUUUAAGUUAUGUAUGAUGUAACUCUAGGUGUCACCAUUCAUACUAUAGAUUUAAUUUAAUAUCAUGAUUUUCUGACAGGUGUCAGUGAAGUGUGUUGAAGGAGGGGUGUUUUUGUUGGUUUCUUUUCUACAAAGGGACCAUAAUGAACCAGCAGUAUCCACUUUUUUUUUCAUAUUACACUUUACCUAUUAUAAUCAUUACUAUUUACUGAGGACUCGCAUACAUUAGUAUAAGAAUGUAUUAUGCUAGUAAUCCAGUUCUGAAAAAAAAAAAGCCCUGAACUGCAGUGUUUGUUGAUUUGCAUAGUGUAAAUAUUCCCUCCACAGCAUAGUUCAAACUACCAAAGUUCUUGAAAGUGAACAUAGAAUAGAGAAAUGAUCACAAUUGCCUUUCCUGAGCCAGUACAAGUCAGCUCCAAGAUACCGAUGGUAACAAGUAUUAACUGGUACUAACUGCUUUCAGUAUUAACAAGUGUUAGUUGCUCUAUCGAGUGAUACUAUUAUUACACACUCUCAUACAGAUAGUGAAACUGAGGUACAGGGAAAUGAUGUUCCUUUACCACAAGUGACAGAACCAGUAAGCAGGAGAGCCGGGCUUUGAGCCCAGGCAGCCUAAUGCCAGAGUCUACACACUUAACCCCUGUACC